rnacentral:lncRNA from 1 species
UUUUUUUUUUUGAAAACGUGGACUUGUAUCAUAACACAGAUAUCUAUUUAUUGGAAUAUAGUAUAACAUGUGAUUUCCACCGAACAUAAAGGAAAAAACUCUUAUACCUACAGAAAUAUGAUAUAUGGAUAUAUCAAUUCUAGCAAUUUUCAAAUAGAUCAGGAUCGUUGGAUGACUGAAAUGUAGUCGGUGAAUCUCUAUGUAUAUUAAUAUGUAUAGUGGGAUCGUAUUAAAU